AUGAUCAAGAUAUGGCAAAGCCCUUCAUGGGAUUCAAGGGGAAUAUGCAACAUAUGUGGUGCCUUUUGUAAGCUAAGCCGGGUUAUUGAAGUAAUUGUUCUUCAGUUUUGUCAGUCGUCACAUGAACAUGAUGAACGUGAAGAGACAAUGAAAGAACGAAAGAAGGGGAUAAAGUUCCUUGCAGCACCUAUAGUGAUAGCAUCUCGAGGGAUUGACAGGGGACGCCUGUACCCGUUCGGCCCUCCGCAAGACUUGUCGUCGUCGUUCUUCUCCAAAGAUCUUGUCCCUACAGAGGUUAGCAAAUAA
rnacentral:rRNA from 1 species